CAUUAUGAUGACAAGAUGUCGCCCCAAACGGACUUUAUAAUGACCGACUCGACAAUUUAUGCCAAACACACUGAAAAUCUGAUA
rnacentral:snoRNA from 1 species